AGAUGACCAGACAAAAGCUGGCUUGUUUUGCCAAAUCAACAAAAGAAAAUUGACAAGGAAAACUGAAAUUACAAACAUUGUAAAAAAAGCCAGAUCUUUCUUGAAGAAUAAAAAAGCAAUGUUCUGGACUCGAAUAAGGCAU